GUCUACAGCCAUGCCACCCUGACCGUGCCCGAUCCCGUCUGACCUCAGAAGCUAAGCAGGGUCAGGCCUGGUUAGUACUUGGAUGGGAGACUACCUAGGAAUACCAGGUGCUGCAGGCA
rnacentral:rRNA from 1 species